rnacentral:lncRNA from 1 species
AAAAAGGGGGAAAAAAACAUUAAAAAAAAGGUAGGUUUAUGUUACAAAGCCCAUUUAAUAUGAAAAUGGAAUAUUGUACGUCCAUAUCAUAGUGGGCCGAUAGUGUAGACAUGGGCCCUUUUUCCUUUUACUGUACAAACAAUAGAAGAAAUUGUUAUGCUAGAGAGACAAAUAGUAGUAACUGAAAGCUGUUGUAAUAAGAAUGCCCAAGUCGGCGACAAAAAAAAAAAAAAAAAAAGAAUGCUCAAGUCUUUGCAUCUCUAUGUUUUGAUUAUUUACAUUAUUUUAACGUACACUUGCUAUCUGAUUAUUUGGAUAAUGAUUUAUAAAAGAUGAGUGUGAUUCCCUUGAUA